rnacentral:tRNA from 1 species
GCCUAGAUGGCUCAGUUGGUGUGAGUGUCUGACCUCAGCUCAGGUUAUGAUCUCGCAGGUUGUGAGUUCAAGCCUCUCAUUGGGCU